CGCGGGAGGGGCGAGGCCGACACGAGGAGGCCACGCCCUCCGUCGACCAGGUCACGCCCCCUGCCCCGUCCCCGUCCCGGCCCCAUCUCAAUCCCGGCCUCGCUCGCGAUCACCUUGUCACCGGGGAUCUGAGGAGCGUCUCCCGGGACGCCCUUGAGGGAGCCAGUAGGGGCCGUGCUGAUGCAGGCGAGUGGGAAGGCGGAAGCACACACGGAUGGGUCAUGAUUCAUCCCCAGGCUCGGCUGUUUUUAGCCGGGUUUGAAUUACUCGCAAGCUGCCAGACAUUGUUCUGGGAGCUGAAUAGCACCCGGCUGCGGUCUCGGCCCCGGCAGGAAAGGUUCGUGUCCUGUUCCGCCCCCGAUCAAACAAGUGCCAGGAUGUCUACGAGAACAGCCAAAGGAGCCGCAAAAUCUUUCCCCCCUCUCUCCUUGGGCUCACGCUGAGUGAGUGUCAAUAAACAAGGGGGGGAAUCAACUGAUGGUCUAAAGGAGAGAUGAUUAAAAAAAUUCAGGGAAACAAUACCGACUUUAUUCUGCUGGCAUCUGGCCCUCUUUUUUAGGAACCCUGCUGAAGAGAAACUGGCUUGUUUGAUCUAUAAUACAGGGUCAGUCAAACUCCCACCCAAAUUCACUCAAGGCUGGCAAAGACUAGCAUGGAUAUUUUCUUGCUGAUUUGGGACCUCGGGAUCCUUUCAGACUUCGGUUUUUGCAGACAAAUAAUUUCUCUGCAUCUGUGGAUGAAACAAUUCAGUAGUAAUCCCCAUACCUAUGACGUGAACUAGACUUGCUUAUGAUGAUCAGAUUUGAAAGCAGUGUAUUUUCUGGUACAUGAGAAGCUACCUUCUUGGUGGGAAUAUCCAUGGUUUUUGUACGGAACUGGAUCCAUCAUGAACACCAGCUGUAUGUAUCCAGAGUUUUAAUAUGCCCAUAACUGGUGACCUGCUGUUAUCCAGAGCUUUUGGCACAUUGAUUUGUUAUUUCUUUCUGCCUUGAAUGGUUUCAAGCUACAAGCCAGACAGUCAACACUCUGCCACGAAACCUGAAGCCUGGAGGUGCACCAUAUGUUCUUGCAGGGCAUCUGCACUAUCUUCAGCAUCAAGUUUCAGUCUCGCAAUGCAAAUGUCUGGGAUGGAUGAGAUGUCAGCAAAUUCAGGGCUUGGACCCAACCUACUUGUUCCCAGAGCAUUCAGAGCAAUAUUAACUUGUCUUUUUACAAACUGCUCAGGAAUCUGUUUGCUAACCCCUCUCUGAAAGGUGUUUGCAGGUGUUUGUCCUUCUCUUCUUGUGGCUAACAACCCUUUUCUUUUCAGGAUUUCCGCAUCUUGGACUAUUCUUGUUCUCCUCUUGAUUCUCACUCUUUGGGCCACAUUUCUUUGAAGUUUAACACUGGUCCAAAACUCCAGCAUGGGCUUGGCUAUGAUUAAGCAGAACUGGUGUGGUAGUCCACACUUACACACCCUGGUACAGUAUCUGCCUUAUUCACAGCACGGGACAUGGACUCCUGCUUCUGACUGCCCACAGCUUCCUGCUCCUUAACCUACCAUUUCCCACAAGUGUUAGUGCAGUUAAUCACUCUUAUCUUGACUAAUUCUUUCCAGCCUCUGUUUCCCAGACUCACUCUCAAUUUUUCUGACGUUGCUAUGGAUUUCAGCCCUACCCUUUUCCAUUUUCCCAGACCUUCUCCAGGUGGGACCUGCAGAUUUUGUCUGUUCCAACAUUUGUGUCACUAAUCAGCUACUUAUGGUCCUGGACCUACAGCAGGCCCCUGAGGAUUCCAGUCAUUCAGCUGGACAGCUGCUCUAGUAAUGUCUAAAUAAGCAGGUUCAAGCUCAGCCAUGUUGCUUUAGCUUCUUUUUAAAGCCAUAAGAAGACUUAACAAAAGCCUACAAACUUUCCAUCAGUCUUCUAGAUCAUCAUGGCAACUAUUGCACUAUUACUGAAUAUUUCCUAAAAAAGGUAGCUGCUGCUUUUUCUUCAUGAUUUUGGAGAAGCCCCUAAAAAUAUGACAUGUAAGGCAGGAUUAAUGAAGAACAGAGGGAAAACUGGAGUGACAUGUAUUUCAGUGUCAACUUAGAAGUGUAGAGCAAUGAACCCCAGUGGUAGCAGCUGGGCAAUUCGAGUUAUUUACCACUUGGUUGCUUAGCUGGACCGAGAGGCAGGAUUUAGCCCAAGAGAAAGGUCAAACAGAAGUUGCACUUCUCCUUUCUGGCCACACGAUGUACCCAUCACACCGCGAACAGCCUGGCCAGACCACCAGCAAGAGCUAGCAGCUACAAAGGCAGGUGUUUCAGGAGUUUGUAUUCCUCAAAAGCGUCUCCUUCCCUCUGUCCAGGCCCUUUAAAACACUCACGCAGCUGCAGCUCAGGGCUGGGUGCCGUGGUGCAGAGGGGCCUGGAUGGGAUGGAGUUGGUGUGGUCCAGACCCUCCACCUUUCCUCCUGGAGGAAGGUGACACCUUGCUGUGAGAGAAAUAAUAGCCAGAUGGUCAACAGGUCGUGGCAGCUUUUCAUCAGUGUGAAUUAUAAUGGGCAAUGAAUAAUUGGAAUUUUACUUAUUAAACGUGAGAUUUUACUGCU